AGUGAACGCUGGCGGUAGGCCUAACACAUGCAAGUCGAACGGCAGCACAGUAAGAGCUUGCUCUUACGGGUGGCGAGUGGCGGACGGGUGAGGAAUACAUCGGAAUCUACUUUUUCGUGGGGGAUAACGUAGGGAAACUUACGCUAAUACCGCAUACGACCUACGGGUGAAAGCAGGGGAUCUUCGGACCUUGCGCGAUUGAUUGAGCCGAUGUCGGAUUAGCUAGUUGGCGGGGUAAAGGCCCACCAAGGCGACGAUCCGUAGCUGGUCUGAGAGGAUGAUCAGCCACACUGGAACUGAGACACGGUCCAGACUCCUACGGGAGGCAGCAGUGGGGAAUAUUGGGCAAUGGGCGCAAGCCUGAUCCAGCCAUGCCGCGUGGGUGAAGAAGGCCUUCGGGUUGUAAAGCUCUGUUGUUGGGAAAGAAAAGCAGCAGGUUAAUACCCCGCUGUUCUGACGGUACCCAAAGAAUAAGCACCGGCUAACUUCGUG
rnacentral:rRNA from 1 species